AGUGGGGGUGGGAGGGGGAUAUGAUGCCGGUAAAUCUGACGGAUCUGAGCUGAGUCACUUCCGUGUUCGUCUAACGUCAUCAUGUUCGCGAGACGUCAGACGUAAUCACGUUGUAUCAUACCUAUCGUGGUGCCGUGGGACCAAAAAACCUUGUAAGCCGAACCUGAAAAGGCAGCUGUGUGCCAUUAUUAACUGCAAUAAUUACCUUUAUGGGUUAAGUCCACCUCUAGAGGCUGUCUACCAAGCAGAC